rnacentral:rRNA from 1 species
CAGCUGUAAACUAUGCGCGUUAGGUGUGUCAGUGACCACGUGUCACUGAGGUGCCGAAGGGAAACCGUGAAACGCACCGCCUGGGGAGUACGGUCGCAAGGCUGAAACUUAAAGGAAUUGGCGGGGGAGCACCACAACGGGUGAGCCUGCGGUUUAAUCGGACUCAACGCCGGGAAUCUCACCGGAUAAGACAGCUGAAUGAUAGUCGGGAUGAAGACUCUACUUGACUAGCUGAGAGGAGGUGCAUGGCGUAGUCGUGU